GUGAUUAAAUCGAGCGUGUCUUCAUUGACCGCUCACCCUUCUCACCAUCCACAUACACCUGUGCACUGUUUAGCCUGAGCCGGUUUUCCGGUCCAGGUUAUCAUUUCAUACAAACUCUAGUCUUAUGAAUGUAAACGUUUACAUUUAUAUCAAACAUAAAUCA
rnacentral:misc_RNA from 1 species